UCCGUAGGCGGGCGACUAAGUCAGAGGUGAAAUCCCACAGCUUAACUGUGGAACUGCUUUUGAUACUGGUUGUCUUGAGUUAUAGUGAAGUAGAUAGAAUAUGUAGUGUAGCGGUGAAAUGCUUAGAUAUUACAUAGAAUACCGAUUGCGAAGGCAGUCUACUAACUAUAUACUGACGCUAAUGGACGAAAGCGUGGGGAGCGAACAGGAUUAGAUACCCUGGUAGUCC
rnacentral:rRNA from 1 species